CGUGUUCAAAGAAUAUAAGAAAUUUGCAGACUAUACCAGAAGCCGAACUGGAAGUGUGUGAAGGGCGGGACGCGAAGGGAGAGAUGGGGCGAGGGGGGUCAGACGGAGGGAGGUCGAUGACCCGCCCGUCUAACAUAAGUGCCGGUUUUGACUAUUUCCCCCGAAAAUGUAUUUUAUCGCCCAGGACGCCCUUGAGACUCAGUGCUGUGGUGAUAUAUGAGGAUCCCUGUGAAGAUGAACAGUAGACAGAAAGUACAUGGAAAGUAACAGAAGAGAUACAGUAAGUGGGGCUAAAGUGACGGCGAGUGGUUGCGGCCCCGACCGUCAGUGGGUCCCGGCCAGCCAGCCGCGCCGCCACUUCCUCGCCGGGCGCCGCGCAGAGCACACACCCUCGCUGCCGGCCGCGCCACCCACCACGCCCUUCUGUCUCGCACGUCUCAGCGCCUCAGGGCGUCUUUAAGGUGCUGCUCAGUCUGUGGGGUCUCCUGCUACCUUGCAAACCAGACACUCAUGGAAAAGGAGGCGCCCUCCAAAACUAUAUUUAGCUGGCCACGAGGCAGCUGACCUGGCCAGUGGCGACCCGUUACGUGACGGUGCCUCCCGUCCCAUCCACCAGCCUCCGCACUGCACCAGCUGCUGCUGCUGCUGCUGCUGAUCCAGCCACCACCCUACUCAACCACUACGCUGCCAUGAUGCCACAGUGCCACGUGCCGGUACGAUCUCCCGCAAACCACUACGACCUCAUCUGUCCCAGUAAGCUUCCAUCGUUCCAACCUAUCCGCUGAAGUGAAGUCUGUGGAACCAACUUUUAUUUACCCACAUUCCCAUGUCCUUCGGCAACCAGCGUGACGUGACGUCUGGGAGCAGGCGCGACGGUGCCAUCAGCUGGGCGGGUGAGGGGGAGGAGGGGGCGGCACUAGGUAACAGUGAGGCCGGCAGCAGGGAGGCCUGUCUCGCUCAGCAACCAUUUCCCUCAAGCCGUCACCUUCCCUACCCAGAAAUCGUCAGUACUUCUGCAGGUGAAACUUCCUUUCCCGUCUGCACCCUCGUUCGUCUUCCAAAGCUCACGCCCCCUGUUACAUGUCCCCUUCCCCCAAUCAGUGUGCCAGUGGACAUCUUCCAUUACCCAUCCGAAGAAGGACAUCUGCUCGCAAUUUGACAUGCCACGUGGCUGUCGGCUUUGCUGCUCGCACCUACUCCUUACUGGAAGUGAAAGUUGGUCAGCCAAGGUUCUCAGCGAGGUCAGUGCAGCUUGCACCUGUCCGACCUCGCACGCCCCGCCGCCACCAAAGCGGCCCUUGGACACCACAAAGUGAUGAAGAGUGAACAGUGAACAUGGGAGUGUGAUGAUGGACACGGUGAAGGGGAGGACACAGUCAUUACCCUCAUGGCGUCACUGGAAGGAAUGUGUUGACAUACUCUUGUGUCGCCUCGUUCAAGGGCAGCCUUGUUACAGUGCUAGUAAGCCUUCGCCAGUUGACAAGAUGCUCUAGAGGACAUGCUUUACUCUCAUCACGUGAAACCUGGCGGAAGUUACGUCAUCGCAAACAAUGGCCGUCAUGAACCCAACCUCUCACUGGCCGCAGCUUCGACAGCGUCAUGAGAACGCUGCUUUCCAAUUGGUGCAGACACCACGAUGACGUAACGAAGACCCUCCUGAUUGGCCAGCGGUGAGCUGUGGCUGGUGACGUGGUAGCAGAGCAGAGCUGUGGUUGGUGGAUGCUUUGGCUGCCAGACCCAGCCAGGCCACUGUCGGGCUCACAUGGCUGGGAAUGGAAACCCCUCUCGCCUCCAGUCUGGAGGCUUCUCAUCAGCUGUUCGCAAGGGCGGAGCUACAACGGAGGGCCGCGGCCCGGCCUCUGCUCCCUCACAGCCCAGUACAGGGCCACAUCGAGACAUAUUCCUCGCCCGCUGAGGCACAGUAUGACUGUGGGCACUCAAUACUGAGGGAGUGUGCUGCGAUCAAGACAUAAUAGCCUCUAUGUUGCUUGCCCAUUGGGAUCAGUGAAAGUUCAGCCGGCGACACCUUGACAUCAGCUGCUGCCGGCCGGCUUGUCUUCGCUAGGUGAGUAGAACAUUCUAGGGCCAAGUGCUGCCUCUCCCCUUUUACCCUCGAGCUGCCACCCAUACCCCGUGUGCCCCUCACCUGCCUCUCCACCAGGACGCCGCCGUGCUGGCCUAAACCUCCUGGAAAAGUUAGACAAGGACACACCUGGCGCGCCUCCCAUGAUCACGUGUUAGUAAAUUUCUCAUUACUUAUUCAUUAUUCGUUCCCUUGACAACCAAAAUAAGGAUGAAGAUUUACUGUGUGAAGAGAACUCGCUGUGUACGUGUGGUAGCGCGACACACUUCACGGGACUCUGACAGUGGUGCCUCGAAAGUUAUAGUGUGAGAAACAUUACCAUCGAGAGAAUGGCUAGUUUUCCCAAUACUAAAUGGAAUCCAUUUAACUCAGAGGCCGGAGCGUUGGCAUGCCUGGACUGCUGUAAGGGAUGCGGGAUCCAAGGACGGAUAAGGAUGUGUGCUUUUUUGUGAUGCGUUGAGGGAUGAUGUACUGGAAGGGGCGGCUGUGGUGGUAGUGGUGGCGGUGGCCUGGGGGUGUAGUGGAGGUGGUGGUAGUGGUAGUGGUGGUGACGGCAAGUGUCUUGUACUGUAGUGUGAAAGGGACGUGUGGUGUGGUGGCGGCCUGGGAUGGUGGUGAGUGUCAAGGUGUGGCUGGUGUGGAGGCGAUGGUGAUGGUUAGUGGACAGUGAAGUGGCGCAGUGGCCAUACACGAGGGUGAGAGAGGCGACAGGCACACAUGGCCGGGGACACCAGUCCAUCCUUAAAAGUGUGUUCCAACUUAGCCUGUCGGAAACUUUUCUUUAGUACAAGUGACUUCCCUUCCUGACCAAUGCAUGCCCUUCUAUCAUAUCCCACUACCCAGCCAUUCUGUCUGCUGCCGCUUCUCCCUGCUCUUGGGGCGUGCUGACUCACCAGUGACAAACAGUGCCGAUGAUUAGAUAGACCACUUGAACAGAGGUGAGGGAGUGGGAACUUUCUUUACGUGGUAUACGUGUAGCGAGUCACAGUAGAGCCACACGUCUGAAGAGAUCGCACCCUUUAUACUUAUGGCAGCUAAUUAAGGAGAUGAUUUCCCUUAGAGUCAUGUUCUAGGCUUGGGGAGCAAGUCAGGCAAAUCUCGGGUGCAGACGUGUUGUUCGCUCAAGUCAGCUGAUUAUUGGAGCCCUGUGUGCUGAGUCGCCAGUCGCGGUGUAUCGAUGGGAGUGAAGGCUUAAGUCACCCAUCAUGAGUGUUUGGGAGUCGGUGCACAGUGGUCAUAGUCACAUGAUGGUGGUGAUGAAUAAUGGCUAUGUGGUGGCGUAGAUUUUAUUGCAGGAUUUUUUCUCUCUCUCUCUCUCUCUCUCUCUCUCUCUCUCUCUGAACAUGUUUUACUUAGCAGCCAAAUAUUAUACUUAACAUUGCCACAGAAUCCGUCUUUUCUACAUCACAGCACAUUCCCUUCUAACUUUCUCUUUUCCCUCCCUCCCUAGCUCCCUCACUCCCUUCGUCUCGCUUAGCACUCACUCGUCGUCUAGCCCGUACACCACUAAUCCUCUCUCUCUCUCUCUCUCUCUCUCUCUCUCUCUCUCUCUCUCUCUCGUGUCUGCCACAUCAUCGCGGUUUCACCCAGAUUCAAAACGGUGUCUCCCUUUGCAUCAUAAUAUUGGAAAAUACUUCCUUGGAAAGGACUGAAAGAUGAGGAGGGCUGUGGAAGAUUUCCUCGAUAGGUAUUUAUACUGUGGAAGUUUCUAAAGAUCUGAUUUAGGCCUCAGCGGGGCAGACAGGAUAUGGGAGGAGGCGGUCGCAAGAUGGGAGUCUGAGAAAGGCCACCACCAGCCCAACGUGAGUAGAAACAGUGAUGGGAGGAUAAGUGCAUUCUUAGUCUCAAACUUAACUAUUGGAGAGGCUUUGAUGCUGUCUAUCUUCCCCUCUCCCUCUCCCUUUUCUUCUCCCUCCCUUCCUGCCUCUCUCUCUCUCUCUCUCUCUCUCUCUCUCUCUCUCUCUCUCUCUCUCUCUCUCUGGUACUCCACUCAUUAUUCCUGUUUACUUAUUUCACCACACUAGCGGCACAUGUGUCUGGCGCCGCCGCUACUGCUCUACUUGCUUCCCGCUGGUACCUCUGCCACCCCAGACCUGUCUGCUGUUCCAUGUUCUGUUAUCGAAUUAAUCCCAAACCUUCAGUCACCUCUUAGUACAUUCUACCACGUCGAUUCUGCCUUCCUCCAUCGCCAGCCUUCCUCCCUUCCUUCCUCUUUCCCCGCCUCUUCCCUUCCCACCGUCCCUCCCUCCCUUCCCUGCCGUGCCGGGAGCUGUUGCUAUGGGCCGUACACCGUCUCUUUUUUUACACCUGCCGCCAGUCGCUCGUGCACGUCCCACUACACCCCAGAAUUUCUCCACGAUUUGACUAGUUCGUUGACUUAUGUGACAUGUUCCAGGUGGCCACGUUUGCCUGCGGUAGUUAGACCCCACCCUUGCCGCAGACUUGAUUUCCCUCUUCACCCUUUGACGGCGAUGCUGAUGGGAGCUAGCUGGCUCCAAGUAGCCGGCCCCUGCAAUCAUCAAUUUCUCUUUAGGGUAAAUGACGUCUGGAGAACCAACCCACUCAUGCUGGGAUUUAAAUUUUACUGACCCUCUGUGGACCCUGCAGUGGAAGGCACAUUUGACAUUAAAGUGAAAGAAGAAAAGCUUUUCAGUGGGACAAUUUAUACAUUCAUCUAAGGCCGUCUCACAAACAGUCCUUUGAAGAGGGAGUCGAGGACAGACGAGCAUAGGGGCGCGGUUGUCUGGCGCGGUAGGGAGGGGUUGAGCAGGCUGGCUAGCCAGAGCGGGGAACACCAGCCCUCGUCAUUCUUCAACGGACAGCAACAGUACCUAGAAUGUCAGCUGUCGGUUACUCUUUCCUUCCCCAGCCAGCCGCUCUCCCGCUGAACCUAGAGUAUGGCAGUCAGGACGGUGCCCUGUCCCCCCACCAUCACCACGGCCUCGGCUGUCAUUGCAUGCUUCUCCCUUGCCUUCCACGUUAUGCAUGAUUUACUUCAGUAACAGGUACUCCUACUCUCAUUUCAUUUUUUCCCUCUACAAAGGUUGCUUCUAUUGUGUUCUGGCUCGUGAGAACUGUUACCGGAAGUGGGAUUAUGUAAAUGGUAAGCCCGGCCAGGCCGCCACGCCUGCCUCGAGGUGCCUCCCCUCACUGGCAUCCCCACCGGCCUCCCAAACACUCUAGCUCCGCGCUUGUUCACAGCCCGCUACUUUCCCAGCCGCGAGUAGAAACGAGAAAACCUUCCGCAUUGACUCACCAGACCAGCUUGGCCUAAAAGCAAGACUUCCCUUAAUCUGUAAAUGACAACCUACCGACGGACUCAGCUAUUCCCGGUCCCAGGCAAGUCAUCAGUAGUGACUCGGUUCAGAAUGAGUGGUGCCGGAGGGGGCAGUGGCAGGGUGCGGUUUGAGGGUCAGUGAACGCUGGUGGUGAGGGGAGGGGAGGAGUGGGAGGGUGUGAGAGCCAGGAGCCGCGGCGACCAGCAGAGAGGGAGAGGGAGAGGGAGCGCGGCGGAAGAGGACUGGUGGAGGGAGGAGAGACAGACAGACAGACAGACGAUCACGCGGAGGCUCUCUCGCAGUGCCACUCCUCAUCGCCAUUCAGCAGGCUCGGUGUGGUCUCGUCAACCCACUCAUCCAUAGCUGCCCAGCAUAACCAAACAUCAUGCGUAUGGCCGUCUGUAAAUAACACCCCAUCUGAAUUUGAAUGAAGUUGCGAAACUUAAUGAAUAUAAUCCAUAAUGAUAUUGCUAAUAACGGGUGUAUAAUAAGAAUCGGUACUCCCUUUCUGGUUGGUCCGAUAGACAUCCCCUCGCCUGGCAGUCGCACGCUUCACCCUCCCCACCGGAGCGCCGCCUCCACCUCGCGGCGUGCACCACCGCCACCCUAAGUGGUCUUCCCGUAGCUCAGAACUAACCAAAAUUCAUCACACGCCACUCGAGAACAUUGACGGAAUUCCUCGCCGCGACGAAACAACCACAGAAUAUAUUGGACGAUCGCCGCGGCAACCACGUCCACGGAAUGACCCGAAAUAAUAAUAAGCGGCCCCGUACGCAUCUCAUGCCGAUCGAACGACAGGAUCUUUGCGCCAGGUCCUACACACCCCCCUUUAAUAAUCCCUGUAUUCCUCUCUUGGUUCAAGCGUGCCCUCUGGUCUACUGGUGGAGGCCGACGGCGGGCGGCGCGGGUAACGGCAGGUGGCGCCCGAAACACGUCGGUGGAGCAGCGGGGUCAGUGUCUUCGCCACAAGGGAAGGAGGGAGGAGAGCCGCGAUGUCACGAGCCAAGAUUUACUUCUGGCACUCUCAGGGCUGUGACCCACUUGGACGCCUGACUCACCGCCAAAUUACUGAAGCUGCUGGAACCCAGGGAGGCCAGGCGUCUCACUCCGCUGCUGCGGGAAUGUAUGUCAUUAGCGAAUAUCCUGAUCAUUCCGCCUCUCACAUGACGGAUCCACGUUAAAUAUAGGCAAAGGGAGUGUGGCGCUGGGUGUGGGCGGGGCUGGGUCAUGUUCCUGGUUGUUGACGGGCAUGGGCGGAGCUCAUGCCUUGCCCGCCCUACAAAGAGCCAUUAAUUACGACUCGCUCAUCAUUAGGUUGCUUACGACCGCCAUCGUAAGUCACUGCAAGGUAGUCGGGCACUGUGGCAUCCAGGAAGUCAAGAGCUUCAUGGUGACGAGUGUUGCUGCUUCCUUUCGCCUGGAAUAGCCAUUCGUGCUAUUCGGUGUCUCCUUCCGCUGCGGAGCGUUACAAGUGCGAUGGACAGCCUGAGCUCAGUGUGGGGAGGGAUGAAGCCGUAAUAACGAGAGAAAAAAUAAAACUAUCACAUUACAUUGCCAAUAUAAUGGCUGGAGUUUUUGCCUCCGUGUAAGGACAAAAAAAGCAUGAGAAGUAAGACCCCGACACCCCAGGUAGAACAGUGUGGAUUCGCUCAUCCGUUCCGCCGCCAGUAAUUCCCUCCCACAAAAAAAAAAAAAAAAAGUUACUUGCAACAUUCAUUCGCAAGAGCCGCGAUCGCUAGACUCGAACACGACUCUUAGGCCUCUGGGUGGCCCAUUCCCCUCCACCCCCUCUUUCAUUCAGACCCGCUCGCCCUCUCUCGGAAGAUAACUAAUGUACCAUCAAAAGGUCACUUAAAGGUCUCUGAAACUCCCUCCCGACAAGGAUGGCAGCAGGGUAGCCAAAAGCGGCAACAACUCUGCAAACUAGGCUGCCUGAUAUCUCCUGAAGGGAGGGGAGGACGGUUACGACAGCACUGCUACACGUCAGGAAGGCUUAGCAUAUGAUGGCUGUGUGUGUGCGCGUGCGUGUGUAGGGGCGGAGAGGCACGAGUGGCGACCUCUGUUUACUGUUGCACCACUACCACCACCUCCACCAUCUCUCAAUAUCCCCUUUGGAAACGAAGCGUGCAAGUUUCUCUCUCAGUAAGGAGCUCAUUCCGGCAAUUUUCUGCGGUGGUAACAAUGGUAAUUUAUCAUGAAGCCACAGGAGAGGUACAGGACCCCGAUUCGCAUGCUAUUCACUUGACAUCGGAAGUGACGUCAUCAGAGUGAGGGAAUGAAUGGAUGGAACAGGAUGGGGGCGGGGCGGUAGAUUCGUAGUCCAUUCACGACCUUCUGCGAGGCUUGGCAUCAUGCAAAUGGAAUGUGAUGUUCAUAUUGAGGAACAACUCAGUCGUUUGUGUGAAUUAGAGGGUUGUCUAUGACAUUGUGUUAACAAUGUCUUUGUGGAGCGUCUGGUGUACAAGUACCUCCUCUUUUCUGUAACAAGAAACAAGCGUGACAAAAUAAGGCGGUGUGGAAAAAUGUGGAGCCUGCUUCACACAGCUGGUGUGUUGACGUCAUCAAAUAUGUGAGACGUGAGUGGCCGUACCGACCCAACGGUGAAACACAGCCCUCAUCUGACUGGUCGAGAAGCCUUGACGUCACUUUUUCGGAAACACCGAGUGGGUGCCGGGAGCGGUGAUUGGUUCAAGGGCCACAUUCCUGACGAUCCCAUGUGAGCCGCACCCGGACACGCUGCUGAUUUCAGAGGUUUGCCGGCUGUUGGAUCCCCAGCCCUUGGUGGCGCACGCGAAGCCGUAUCAUUAUUAGUCGCAGCAAGCCGUCAAGACCGAGAUCUCUGCCCAUCGCGACGCAUUGCUCACCUCAGCACGGCUAGCAGUAUAUUCAACUAGUGGAUAAAUGAGGAAUUACUAUGCUCGUCAGGGAUGAAUGGAGACGUACUGACCUCUGCUGCUUGCUGGGCUGGACCGGUGAGAGACCUGGAAGAGAGUUAGAGAUAUUUAAAAGUGGCGUUUUGAUAACUAUUAUUAGAAAAAAAAUAAUAACCACCGGGAAUAAAUACACAAAGAAAGAAAACUUCUUGAUAAGGAUAGCUAGGAUCAAGUGACAACAUGAAUGAGGAUGUUGGGGGUGGAGCUAUGAUUCAGAAGGAAACUGAAACCAUAAAUUAUAAUUAUAAAAAGUUAAUAAUCUUAGUAAAUCUCUCUCUCUCUCUCUCUCUCUCUCUCUCUCUCUCUCUCUCUCUCUCUCUCUCUCUCUCAACACCCCGCUUCCUUCUCAUGGUUUGUCCGUGUCUGGUCGUCUUACUCCUCCCUUCCUCCCGCUGCUUCCUCCAUCGCGGUAUAACUCCCUCCCUUCUUCCUUCCCACUCACUUGUCCUCCCUCCCUCUCUCCCUUUAUGAUUUCCUCCACAACCUCGUCCCUCUCCCUCUGUCCUUGUCUUACCCUGUUUGGUUCUACUGCACAUCACCUCAAGUAUGGCUUACUUGUUGCUUGGCUGUUUCCUUGUGUGUGUGUGUGUGUGUGUGUGUGUGUGUGUGUGUGUGUGUGUUUUUCUGUUAGCAUUAUUCCUAAUGGGAGACUUGCCGAGUUUCCUAAGAAUCAAGACCGAUACUAAUAAAUCGCACUUCUUUCGCCUCUCAUGAUGCAUCAGUACAAGCAGAGCGAGAUAAGCGUCCUUCUGCCGCCCCCCCUCCCCCUCCCCACACACACACACACACACACACACACACACACACACACACACACACUUUCUCACAUUCUGUCCCAAGGACACAAUUGGUGGAUCCCUCCGCUAUUAUUCCUGUCGUCCAUAACACCGGGGAAUCUGCAGCGACUGUAUUGGUCUGAGUUACCAGGUCCAGGCGGCGGAAGACCUUGGGGAAGGUGACUGAGCCGGCGGAGGAGGGAGGGCGGGGACGGCUCGCGGUUAGGAAGUCGUGACACCCGCGGGGAAGUGACGCCGCCAAGGAGGAAGCGGGGAGAGGAAAGGGUAAGACGCAGCGACGAUGGCCGGGAAUAUCCACAUUUUUAUAUUCUUUUAACGAAUGGAGGGAGUAGGACAGGUAGUGAUGAAAGAGGAGGGAAGUGGAUACGAGAAAGACCGAUCCCGCUUAUUCCUACGCCAUCCAACGGGAGAGGGAGUGCCUAACUUGCAACAGUCAUGGUCGUAAUUGAGUUAAGACAACGUGCACGAGUCUCACCUUGGUCACAUCCUCUUAUAUUUUAUCGACACCGUUUUCCUCCACUACUAGCCUCGCGGCGCCCCUACCACUUCCACUCCCUUACACUACCCUCCCACUCCCUCCCUCACAAGAACCCUUGGUAAACCUUAGAGCCAAUGAACGCUGUCGGAACCACCAGUGACUAGAUAUUACCGACGUCAAACAGAACUGGAUGAUAAGACGGGACAGAAUUAUUCCCAGUAUUGUUGUUAACCGGGUGUCGCUGAUCUUGCGCAACCCUACUCACCACCUGCCGCGCCUCGGGCGCCACCACCACCGUCGCCACGCUGCCCGCCGCCGUGACUGGGCAUGGUGUGGGCGGCCAGCAGACGGCAGUGAGUAAAGGGAACAGGAAGUCAGCAAGCGUUUGUUGGUAAUGUGGGAUGUUGUUGCCAAUGCCGCGCCACAAUUACGCGACUGGAGUUUGUGACACAGAACUCUCGAAUAUCAACUUCCUUUCCAUUCACAUACAACCGUAAUUACUAGGGUCUGAAGGGGCAAUUUGCCUUGGAAGCGGCCCUCCCUUCUUCCCUUCCUCGCUCUUUCCCUCCUUCCCUCCUCCCUACAUUGAGAGCUGCUCAUUUCAUCCUGCUUUCUUUUUCAUUGCUGUCACUUUUCUUCAACCUUUCAUGUGCGCUCUCUCUCUCUCUCUCUCUCUCUCUCUCUCUGGUAAUUCACACCCACUCCUCUGCCACGCCACGGUCAGCCACUCUUCCUUUCUCCCUCGUACUGUACAACCUAUUUCCUUAUCCUUUCAUGAACCAAGGGAAAAAAAAGUUCAUUCUUCAGUUCAUUCUGCAGGAUCAAUUACUUUUUUCCUUCCUUCCCCAACAAGCCUUUCCAUCCUUCCCCUUCCCACUCCACUCUCCCCCUUCCGCUCCCCUACCUCUCCCUUUCCUUUCCUCCCCCUCCUACACAUCCGCCGCUCGCAGUGUUACCAAAGCAAGACUUUUGAAGCGAUUUCUUUCAGAAUUUCAUCAGUGGCAAAAACUGCGUCGGUCAGUGAGACUAACUACAUUCCUGCAUUUUAAAAAUCCUUUGAGCGGAGAGAGGCGCGAAGGGGUCUAGUUAUAUAUCUGUGUUACUGUCACUGGCGAGGCCUUGCACUGGAAGUGCCGUGUGUGAUUGGGCGGGGCGAGGGAUGUAUGUCGGAGGUGGUAACACUGCAGCUGUCGCAGGGGUUUUCCAAUGUGUUGUGGCGGUGGGGAGGUGAAGGGGGAAGAUAGAGGUGGUAAGGUGGAGAGGGGGAAGGUGGAGGAAGAAAGGCACGGGGGGGGUUCUUACUUUCCCCUGACGCACCUUCCUCCUCCUCCUCCUCCUCCCUCUUGGUGCCGUCUGGGCUACCUUGCUUGGCAGUCUCAGUUCACGUCGCUGUGGUUUGCUUUUUCACAGCUAUAAACGCAUACUCCAUUUUAUCCCCAGAUCAGUAAAACAUAGUGUAAAAAUCAGUAAUCUUCCUGUCAUCAAAUCAGUUCGCCCCCACACUGAUAAGACAUGACGUAAUCCACUGAGGUAUGGCAGGUCAGUCAGCCGGUGGUGCCAGGCAGCCCGAGCACCCUCACCACGAGUGUGCUCAAGAUAAAGCAGUAGACAGACCGCUUUCUCUCAGACGCUUCCCCGAAAACACCGCCGUUCACUCUAGGAAAGGAAGGAAAGCGUUGCGACAUUUUCCGAGGAAAGCCUUCAGAUACGUCACGGCAAGCCUUGGCGAGCGAGCCACGUCAGACAGACAGAAGCUUGGUCUCCCUCCCUCUGCAUGUGGCGCCAUACCCUACUGCUAUCCUGACGCACUGGUAGCCCCUUCAUCUGUGAAAAGAAUGGUGGUGAUGGUGGUAGUAGUGGUGGGGCGUUAAGGUAGGAGGUGGCGAGUUUGAUUAUCACCUUGCUUUGUCUCUCCUUAUCUGAGUCCCACGUUACUACUAUCGCAACCAAUAAGCGUACACUAACCAUCAUCACCACCGUUGUAGACCUCAGACAUCACCGCCAGCUUCACAGCCCCCUCCCUCAGACCGCAGCGCAUUAGGGAAGCCAAAUACACUCGCACGCACGUAAGGAAAAGAAAUAUGAGUAUUAACAAGGACACUGGCGUCUGUCGUCUGUAUGCUUGGAAUGUCCAGUGUGUGUGUGUGUGUGUGUGUGUGUGUGUGUUCGGUGGCCAUCUUCCAGAGCGGUGUCUCUCUGUGUGUGUGUGUGUGUGUGUGUGUGUGUGUGUUCGGUGGCCAUCUUCCAGAGCGGUGUCUCUGUGUGUGUGUGUGUGUGUGUGUGUGUGUGUGUGUGUGUGUGUGUGUCCUGUAUUACAGCGGUGUCCACGGGCACGGAUUUCCCAGGGAGAAUAAGCGAGUCCAAUCAGUGGAUGACGGCUGCUGGAUGCGUCUGCCACACCGGAUGGAAAAGUGA